rfam:Otolemur garnettii contig046950, whole genome shotgun sequence.
GCCUGACGUGGUGGCGCGUGCCUGUGGUCCCAGCUACUCGGGAGGCUGAGACAGAAGGAUAGCUUGAGUCCUGGAGUUCUGGGCUAUAGCGUGCUAUGCAAUUGGGUGUCUGCGCUAAGUUUGGCAUCAAUAUGGUGACCUUCAGGAGGAGGGCCACCAGGUUGCCUAAGGAGGGGUGAAUCAGCCCAGGUUGGAAGCAGAGCAGGUCAAAACUCCCGUGCCGAUCGGUAGUGGGAUUGCACCUGUGAAUAGCCACUGCACUCCAGCCUGGGCAACAUAGUGAGACCCCUUCUCAG